UUCCGGUUGAUCCCGCCGGACCUGACUGCUAUCGGAUUGAUACUAAGCCAUGCGAGUCAUUGUAGCAAUACAAGGCAGACGGCUCAGUAACGCGUAGUCAACCUAACCUAUGGACGGGAAUAACCUCGGGAAACUGAGAAUAAUGCCCGAUAGAACACUAUGCCUGGAAUGGUUUGUGUUCCAAAUGAUUUAUCGCCGUAGGAUGGGACUGCGGCUUAUCAGUUUGUUGGUGAGGUAAUGGCCCACCAAGACUAUUACAGGUACGGGCUCUGAGAGGAGUGGCCCGGAGAUGGGUACUGAGACACGGACCCAGGCCCUAUGGGGCGCAGCAGGCGAGAAAACUUUGCAAUGUGCGAAAGCACGACAAGGUUAAUCCGAGUGGUUUCUGCUAAAGGAACCUUUUGUCGGUCCUAGAAACACCGAUGAAUAAGGGGUGGGCAAGUUCUGGUGUCAGCCGCCGCGGUAAAACCAGCACCUCAAGUGGUCAGGAUGAUUAUUGGGCCUAAAGCAUCCGUAGCCUGCUUUGUUAGUUUUCGGUUAAAUCUGUACGCUCAACGUACAGGCUGCCGGGAAUACUGCAAAGCUAGGGAGUGGGAGAGGUAGACGGUACUCGGUAGGAAGGGGUAAAAUCCUUUGAUCUAUUGAUGACCACCUGUGGCGAAGGCGGUCUACCAGAACACGUCCGACGGUGAGGGAUGAAAGCUGGGGGAGCAAACCGGAUUAGAUACCCGGGUAGUCCCAGCUGUAAACCAUGCAAACUCAGUGAUGCAUUGGCUUGUGGCCAAUGCAGUGCUGCAGGGAAGCCGUUAAGUUUGCCGCCUGGGAAGUACGUACGCAAGUAUGAAACUUAAAGGAAUUGGCGGGGGAGCACCACAAGGGGUGAAGCCUGCGGUUCAAUUGGAGUCAACGCCGGGAAUCACUAGUGC
rnacentral:rRNA from 1 species